CAAACCAGCUGGAGAUACAAACUGGAAGAAGCUGGAGACAGCCAGGAGACAACCAGGGCUGGAGCCAUCCAUGAGCUGUAAAUAUCUUCACUGUGUUUCCCACUAUUUCCUUCUGAGACUGAAGAACACAGAAAGCUGGGAUCGUGCCUCAGCACGUGCCGUACAGUCUGCACAACAGGGAGCUCUGUACAGUUUCUCUCCUACAAAGAGUGUCCUCAUUCAGUCCUUCAGCAGUACCUCUCUUCCGACACCUCCUGGUGACGAGGCAGACCCCCAGCAGCACCAGCACCAGCAGCAUGACGGCUGCGAGCGCGCUCCCAAGGGACGCGCCCGUCUGCGACAAGGAGGCUGCGACCACGGCCUCCUCC